rnacentral:lncRNA from 1 species
CUUGAGAAAAUAAAAUACUUUUAGGAAGUAGUAGAAGAUAAUGAAGACUAGAAAAAGAAGUGGAUUGUUUAGAGUUUAAAUUGAUAGAGAAAUAUAUUGUCUAAUUAUUAAACUUCUGUGUUUCCAAUUAAGUGAUUUAUUAAAAAUACCCUCUUUUCUUACACCUAAAUAAGGGAUAUCAUAUCUUGAGUAGAAAGUUUAUAUUUCCAAACUGUGUCAAGAGUGUACCUAAUUAAACUUUAUAUGUAAGUAAUAAUUAUCAUUGUUCUUUUUUAAAAAAAUUAUAAGUUACAGUAAUCUCGUGAAUGGUUUUGAAUUGGACAGGAUCUUUUAUCCACCCUUAAACUGUAUUUUUACUUAUCACAGAACUAAUUGUACCUUCUACAUUUAUGGUAAACACUUUUCAAAAUAGUAUUUUACAAUAUUGAUAAGUAUACAAAAACUUAAGAAUGUAUUGUAACGC